GAUGAACGCUAGCGGCAGGCUUAACACAUGCAAGUCGAGGGGCAGCAUGACACGGAGAUUCGUCGAAGUGUUGAUGGCGACCGGCGCAAGGGUGCGUAACGCGUGAGCAACUUGCCCGUUUCUGGGGAAUAACCGGUGGAAACGCCGACUAAUACCCCAUAGUAUAACGAAGAGGCAUCUUUUUGUUAUUAAAGAAUUUCGGAUAAGGAUAGGCUCGCGUGACAUUAGCUAGACGGCGGGGUAACGGCCCACCGUGGCUACGAUGUCUAGGGGUUCUGAGAGGAAGGUCCCCCACACUGGAACUGAGACACGGUCCAGACUCCUACGGGAGGCAGCAGUGAGGAAUAUUGGUCAAUGGUCUGACGACUGAACCAGCCAUGCCGCGUGAAGGUCACGGCCCUAUGGGUCUUAAACUUCUUUUGCGAGGGAGCGAAUAAGGCGCACGUGUGCGUCGAUGAGNGUACCUGCGAAUAAGCAUCGGCUAACUCCGUGCCAG
rnacentral:rRNA from 1 species